CCCUUAGAUGUUCUGGGCCGCACGCGCGCUACACUGAUGCACUCAACGAGUCUCACCUUGACCGAAAGGUCCGGGAAAUCUUCGAACUUGCAUCGUGAUGGGGAUAGAUUAUUGCAACUAUUAAUCUUCAACGAGGAAUACCUAGUAGGCGUGUGUCAUCAGCGCGCGUCGAUUACGUCCCUGCCCUUUGUACACACCGCCCGUCGCUCCUACCGAUUGAAUGGUCCGGUGAAGCGCUCGGACCGCGGCCUCUUGACGGUUUUCCGUCGAUUGGCUGUGGGAAGUUCGUUAAACCUUAUCAUUUAGAGGAAGGAGAAGUCGUAACA
rnacentral:rRNA from 1 species